GAUGUAUUUUUAUUAUUUUUAUUUUUAUUUUUGUUUUGGUUUUGUUUUUAUUUUUAUUUUUAUUAUUUUUAUUUUUAUUAUUUGUGUCUUCCUAUUCCUGUUCGCAGCAGGUAACGCAAAUGCCCGGCUGCAGAGGCACCGAGCAGCUGCCUCCCACGUCUGAGUGUCUCCGGAGGGCUGCAGGGUGCCACGGCCCCCACCAGCCCCACACAGCGACACGAUUUUCUGCAGGUCCCUGGGAGCACUGACCGUAUGAAAUGGCCUUCUGCCCAGUAUCACCAUCGUGGCUUAUGUUCCUCCAUAAAGCUCUGGUACCACGUGCUGAGGCUUCCACAGUACGUGUGCCUAAGAAAAGACCAACCAGGCAGGGUUGCCCUGUGGGCAUCUCCCAGUUCCUCCGCAGUUAGGAACCUUCAUUUCAUCACCUCCAGAUAAGAGGGAUGACAAUGGCCAAAGCCGCUCUCCGGGGACCGUCCCCAGGCACCCCACGUCCCGCGGCAGCGCCAGCAGCAGGCUGCGGCUCCCGGGCGCUGCUGAGCCGCGUGCGCGGUCCCGCACUGCGAGGCUCCGGGGCGAGCAGCAACUUUGUCAUCUCUUCGGCAGAGCCAUUGCAGCCUGGGGAGCUCCUGGAGGUCCAUGCGGAGAUUUUGGUGCUUCCAUGAGGCCAGUGGGGCCGAGGCAGCAGGUUCGGCCUUUGUUUAUAAAUACAUAUGGAGCACUGACAAUGAACCCUACCACAGCUGGAUGAAAAGCAUUAAAGGAUGAACCUAAGCACCCACGCUCAUCCCGCAGCCCACAGAAACCCACGGGUCUGCUUAAGGAACAGGCACCUUGGCGAGCCCGCAGGGAGCCUCUUAGCCUGAAACUGUUGGCUUCGGAUCUGGGUCAGAGCACGGAUCGAUACGCGGCUGUGGAUCUCAGCACUGCCCUUCCGUCGGCGUCUGACUCCCAGAUUUGCUCCAUCAUUUCCCCAACUGAUAACACCACAGGCUCUUUCCGAGCACCGUGUCAGCCUGCUGUGCCUUUUCCCCCACACGACCAGCUUCAGCUUCCCGAGCCGCAGGACACGCGGACUCGAGCACCGGGAGGAGCAUUGCAGGGGCUCGGCCGGGACCCCAGCUGCUGGAUCUCGCCCACUGACCCCUCGUGGGACCACGGAGGUUCUUUUGCCCGCAGCCCAACGUUUGGCUCAGAUGAAUUGCACAGAGGUUGGCUGAGACCUACAGGCACCUGCGGGCAGAGGACCGACCUCCACCCCGCUGCCAAAAGGUGCGCUCUGCUUGUGCACCCCGCGGCCGGGCUGCAUCUUUAUUGCGCUGAGGACAGCGGGGGCGAGCCAGCGUCCCCUCGUCCCCACCGCCCCGCCACCGGCCCGGCAGCUGCCCGCGCUCCCUGCCCACCCUGCCUGCUGCUGCGUGCCCGCAGGACCGGAGCCAUUCCCCCUGGAAACGACCUCGGCACGCCAGCCAGCGAGCACGGAUGGCCAAGUGAAUGUAAGCUGAUGCUAAUAAAUCUCCUGAGC
rnacentral:lncRNA from 1 species